CAGUCGCCGCGGGAAUACGUAGGGUGCGAGCGUUAAUCGGAAUUACUGGGCGUAAAGCGUGCGCAGGCGGUUGUGUAAGACAGGUGUGAAAUCCCCGGGCUUAACCUGGGAACUGCGCUUGUGACUGCACAGCUAGAGUAUGGCAGAGGGGGGUGGAAUUCCACGUGUAGCAGUGAAAUGCGUAGAGAUGUGGAGGAACACCGAUGGCGAAGGCAGCCCCCUGGGCCAAUACUGACACUCAUGCACGAAAGCGUGGGGAGCAAACAGGAUUAGAUACCCGUGUAGUCCCUGUCUCUUAUAA
rnacentral:rRNA from 1 species